rnacentral:lncRNA from 1 species
AAAGGAUUACCUACCAUGCAUUACCUCUGGAGAACUACAUUUACCCUUAAUGAAAUAAUGUAUUUCAAAGCAGAACCAUAAAACAUUUUUGCAUUGAUGAAUAAUUAAGGUACGUUUUUUUUUCUUUUCUCGACAAAACUCAUUGCCAGAUUGUGAAGGAUUCUCUUUUACAAUGUAUUUUAUACUGUUGAAGUUGUAGAGCAUAACAUAAAAAUGAAUUCAGA